UUUGGACGAGGGGCCCCUCUCGGGUUACCGAAUUCAGACAAACUCCGAAUGCCAAAUAAUUUAACUUGGGAGUCAGACUAUGGGUGAUAAGGUCCGUAGUCGAAAGGGAAACAGCCCAGACCACCAGCUAAGGUCCCAAAAUAUAUGUUAAGUGGAAAAGGAUGUGGCGUUGCCCAGACAACUAGGAUGUUGGCUUAGAAGCAGCCAUCAUUUAAAGAGUGCGUAAUAGCUCACUAGUCGAGUGACACUGCGCCGAAAAUGUACCGGGGCUAAACAUAUUACCGAAGCUGUGGAUUAUCCGUAAGGAUAAUGGUAGGAGAGCGUUCUAAACGUGUCGAAGCAUGAUCGUAAGGACAUGUGGAAUGUUUAGAAGUGAGAAUGCCGGUGUGAGUAGCGAAAGAUGGGUGAGAAUCCCAUCCACCGAUUGACUAAGGUUUCCAGAGGAAGGCUCGUCCGCUCUGGGUUAGUCGGGACCUAAGCCGAGGCCGAUAGGCGUAGGCGAUGGAUAACAGGUAGAUAUUCCUGUACCACCUAUGAUUGUUUGAACGAUGGGGGGACGCAGUAGGAUAGGCGAAGCGUGCUGUUGGAGUGCACGUCCAAGCAAUAAGACUGAGUGUUAGGCAAAUCCGGCACUCGUAAGGUUGAGUUGUGAUGGGGAGUUGGAUCAUGUAUCCGACGAGUCGUUGAUUUCACACUGCCAAGAAAAGCCUCUAGUUAGAAAAUAGGUGCCCGUACCGCAAACCGACACAGGUAGUCAAGAUGAGAAUUCUAAGGUGAGCGAGCGAACUCUCGUUAAGGAACUCGGCAAAAUGACCCCGUAACUUCGGGAGAAGGGGUGCUUUUUAGGGUGCAAGCCUUGAAGAGCCGCAGUGAAUA
rnacentral:rRNA from 1 species